rnacentral:misc_RNA from 1 species
UUUUAGGCUCUAGUGAGACGGUAUCCUUUUUUUGAGGCUUUUCGCCGAAAAAAAAGAUAUAGCCCAAAGCCCACC